UCGAGAAUCAUUCACAAUGGGCGAAAGCCUGAUGGUGUGACGCCGCGUGGAGGAUGAAGGUCUUCGGAUUGUAAACUCCUGUCAAGUGAGAGUAAAGCCGGGCGUUAACUGCGCGCCGGUCUGAGAGUAUCACUAGAGGAAGGGACGGCUAACUUCGUGCCAGCAGCCGCGGUAAUACGAAGGUCCCGAGCGUUGUUCGGAAUCACUGGGCGUAAAGGGAGCGUAGGCUGCACGGUAAGUCAGAUGUGAAAGCCCGGGGCUCAACCCCGGAACUGCAUCCGAUACUGCCGUGCUUGAGGACUGGAGAGGAGUCUGGAAUUCACAGUGGAGCAGUGAAAUGCGUAGAUAUUGUGAGGAACACUAGUAGCGAAGGCGAGACUCUGGACAGAACCUGACGCUGAGGCUCGAAGGCCAGGGGAGCAAACG
rnacentral:rRNA from 1 species